rnacentral:rRNA from 1 species
GACGAACGCUGGCGGCGUGCUUAACACAUGCAAGUCGAACGGAAAGGCCCUGCUUGCAGGGUACUCGAGUGGCGAACGGGUGAGUAACACGUGGGUGAUCUGCCCUGCACUUCGGGAUAAGCCUGGGAAACUGGGUCUAAUACCGGAUAGGAGCCAUUUUUAGUGUGAUGGUUGGAAAGUUUUUUCGGUGUAGGAUGAGCUCGCGGCCUAUCAGCUUGUUGGUGGGGUAAUGGCCUACCAAGGCGGCGACGGGUAGCCGGCCUGAGAGGGUGGACGGCCACCUUGGGACUGAGAUACGGCCCAGACUCCUACGGGAGGCAGCAGUGGGGAAUAUUGCACAAUGGGCGCCAGCCUGAUGCAGCGACGCCGCGUGGGGGAUGACGGCCUUCGGGUUGUAAACUCCUUUCGCUAGGGACGAAGCUUUUUGUGACGGUACCUAGAUAAGAAGCACCGGCUAACUACGUG